rnacentral:lncRNA from 1 species
GAGUCGAUUGGAGUCGGAAAAUCGAGGAAAAAGUAUAAUACUUGGUUAAAUUGGAGCAAGUCGAGGUAAGUGACUUGUCUAACCUUGUGUGAGGGAAAUUUCUCCUAGAAUUGAUAUUAAUGUGAUUAUUGAAAUGUGUUGAAAGUCGUGUACACGAGGUGACGAGUGUGUACACGGGCUAAAUGUGAAAGAUUAUAUUUUUAAAUUGUGUAGAUCAUUGUUGCGCAUUUAUUAAAUUAUUUUAUCUUGUUAUAUUCUUCAUCAUUGAUCUGUGAUAUAUAUUUUAAAUUUGUUUGCCUUUUUCCUGCUAAUUAUUUUACCUGUUUAAUUGAAACUUGGUUUCUUUCAUACUGUGCAUUAUUUGAAGGUUGAUUUUCUUUAAAUUAAAUAUUAUUAAUAUACAGUAUUUGACAUUUUUAAUUUUGAUAUUGAAGCAACGUAUUAAAAUUUUGGAAUAUUAUUUUUCUGAAUUAUUUAUUCUUGAAAUAUUGGGCACUUGAGGUAAAAAUUGUGAUAUAUUGUGAUAUUGAUACGCAUGCGGUGGUAUAAGGUCUGGGUGUUAAAACGCAUGCGGUGAGAUAAGGGUGGCUUGAUACGCGUGGCUAGUAGGGGUGACUACUAGAAGUCAUGCGGUGUGAUAAGGGUGGCUAAAAUGCGGGAUGCUAUUUCGGAAAAAAAUAUCUUCUUUAAAUAAAUUGUGAAGGCUCCCACGGUGAUAUAAGAAAAUGAGAUAUUGUGAAAUUAUUUAUAAUUUGGGACUACGAGGCGGUACCUCGGUAGUGCCCUUGUUAAUAUUGAUUUAUGGCCAUAGUUGCCUUCGAUUAAUUGUUGUGAUUUUCAUAAAGUUGAAGGAAAUUCUGUUUUGAUUCCACGAGAUAUUAUUUGCAAUUAUUUGGUGUCAUUAAAUGUGACAUACUAUUUGAUUCAUUUCCAGUGUCAUUUUAUUUUACUAUAUUGUUAAAUAUUUUACCAUUCCAUUAUUAUAUUCCAGUAGGGCCUCACCUGACCUCGUCACUACUUUACCGAGGUUAGGCUUGGCACUUACUGGGUACCGCUGUAGUGUACUCAUACUAUGCUUCUGCACAUCUUUUUGUGCAGAUCCAGGUACAUCCUACCAGCCUAGACGUCAGUGAGUUACCUACGUACGGAGACUUUGAGGUAUAUCUGCCAGCGUCCGCGACUCCGGAGUCCCCUUCUAUCAUUUUAUGUUGCUUCCUUAUAUUUUAUUUAGACCUUGAUAUAUAGAGACAUUGAGAAUAAAUUCUUAGGAGGUUUUGAUUUAUUUCUACCGGGUUUUGGGAGUUGAAAUUGUUUGAAUUGUAGUUUAUUUAUUUCAAAUAUUUAUUAUUAUUCCGCAUUGUUAGGCUUACCUAAUCAACGGCGAAAAAAAAAUUCCCAUCGAGGGUUACGACAGAGAACUGUCUUCGCCGUCGCCGGUAACUCCAUAAUCAACGGUAGGUUCCCGGGCUUUAGCCUUGCGAUUACACAACACCUCCACCACCGGUAACUCUAUUUUUAGCGAAUACUCAUUAGUUAAAUUUUUGUUCCGAUCAAUCCAAGAGGUUUAUACCUAAAUUCCACCGGUUUAGUCUCUUUAGUUCUUUAUCUUAUGCAAUAUUUCUAUUUAUCUUUCCUUAAUUGUUUUACCAUUUUAUUACGAAGUGUCAUAGCAAAAUCUCUUCCCUAAUCACUCAAAAUCAGAAAGUAUUUCUUCCUUUAAAGAACGAAUUUUAGCUGAAGAUUGGGAUACGAAUCUCUUUGGAGAAUCAGUCUAUGUUCAAGAAGUCACCAAAUAGAGUGAUUCCUGCGCAAUCAUCUUCUUCCCGGCGAGGACAGACUAUUUCCCGGUGUGUUCAGAUUGCCGGCAAGUUUCGUAAAUUUCGGCGACUUCCAAACAACUUUCAGGCGAGACACAGCAGGACUUGCCAAUGCUCUUGAGCAGAUCCGACAAGCUUCAGGAAAACUUGCUCCAGGUUCUUUCGUUCUAUAUCUGGUACUCGUGGUAUCGGUAUUUUUAUUGUAUUUUUCUGCCCGCGGGAGUUGGUACCUCCCAUUUUCCAGUUUUCCUUUGUUGUGUGAGUUAAAUUGCUGACAUCUUACCUCGUACUAGUUUAUUUACCAUAUUAGUGUG